rnacentral:rRNA from 1 species
GGUUGCGGACAGUGUCUGGUGGGUAGUUUGACUGGGGCGGUCUCCUCCUAAAGAGUAACGGAGGAGCACGAAGGUUGGCUAAUCCUGGUCGGACAUCAGGAGGUUAGUGCAAUGGCAUAAGCCAGCUUGACUGCGAGCGUGACGGCGCGAGCAGGUGCGAAAGCAGGUCAUAGUGAUCCGGUGGUUCUGAAUGGAAGGGCCAUCGCUCAACGGAUAAAAGGUACUCCGGGGAUAACAGGCUGAUACCGCCCAAGAGUUCAUAUCGACGGCGGUGUUUGGCACCUCGAUGUCGGCUCAUCACAUCCUGGGGCUGAAGUAGGUCCCAAGGGUAUGGCUGUUCGCCAUUUAAAGUGGUACGCGAGCUGGGUUUAGAACGUCGUGAGACAGUUCGGUCCCUAUCUGCCGUGGGCGCUGGAGAACUGAGGGGGGCUGCUCCUAGUACGAGAGGACCGGAGUGGACGCAUCACUGGUGUUCGGGUUGUCAUGCCAAUGGCACUGCCCGGUAGCUAAAUGCGGAAGAGAUAAGUGCUGAAAGCAUCUAAGCACGAAACUUGCCCCGAGAUGAGUUCUCCCUGACUCCUUGAGAGUCCUGAAGGAACGUUGAAGACGACGACGUUGAUAGGCCGGGUGUGUAAGCGCAGCGAUGCGUUGAGCUAACCGGUACUAAUGAACCGUGAGGCUUAACCUU